rnacentral:rRNA from 1 species
AUGUGACCUCAAAUCAGGUAGGACUACCCGCUGAACUUAAGCAUAUCAAUAAGCGGAGGAAAAGAAACUAACAAGGAUUCCCCUAGUAACUGCGAGUGAAGCGGGAAAAGCUCAAAUUUAAAAUCUGAUAGUCUUUGGCUGUCCGAGUUGUAAUCUAGAGAAGCGUUAUCCGCGCUGGACCCGUGUACAAGUCUCCUGGAAUGGAGCGUCAUAGAGGGUGAGAAUCCCGUCUUUGACACGGACUACCAGGGCUUUGUGAUGCGCUCUCAAAGAGUCGAGUUGUUUGGGAAUGCAGCUCAAAAUGGGUGGUAAAUUCCAUCUAAAGCUAAAUAUUGGCGAGAGACCGAUAGCGAACAAGUACCGUGAGGGAAAGAUGAAAAGAACUUUGGAAAGAGAGUUAAACAGUACGUGAAAUUGCUGAAAGGGAAACGCUUGAAGUCAGUCGCGUUGUCCAGGGAUCAACCUUGCUUUUGCUUGGUGUACUUUCUGGUUGACGGGUCAGCAUCAAUUUUGACUGUUGGAAAAAGAUUAGGGGAAUGUGGCAUCUUCGGAUGUGUUAUAGCCCUUGGUUGCAUACAAUGGUUGGGAUUGAGGAACUCAGCACGCCGCAAGGCCGGGUUUUAACCACGUACGUGCUUAGGAUGCUGGCAUAAUGGCUUUAAUCGACCCGUCUUGAAACACGGACCAAGGAGUCUAACAUGCCUGCGAGUGUUUGGGUGGAAAACCCGAGCGCGUAAUGAAAGUGAAAGUUGAGAUCCCUGUCGUGGGGAGCAUCGACGCCCGGACCAGACCUUUUGUGACGGUUCCGCGGUAGAGCAUGUAUGUUGGGACCCGAAAGAUGGUGAACUAUGCCUGAAUAGGGUGAAGCCAGAGGAAACUCUGGUGGAGGCUCGUAGCGAUUCUGACGUGCAAAUCGAUCGUCAAAUUUGGGUAUAGGGGCGAAAGACUAAUCGAACCAUCUAGUAGCUGGUUCCUGCCGAA